UCAGGCCUAACACAUGCAAGUCGAGCGGAAACGAGUUAUCUGAACCUUCGGGGAACGAUAACGGCGUCGAGCGGCGGACGGGUGAGUAACGCCUAGGAAAUUGCCCUGAUGUGGGGGAUAACCAUUGGAAACGAUGGCUAAUACCGCAUGAUGCCUACGGGCCAAAGAGGGGGACCUUCGGGCCUCUCGCGUCAGGAUAUGCCUAGGUGGGAUUAGCUAGUUGGUGAGGUAAGGGCUCACCAAGGCGACGAUCCCUAGCUGGUCUGAGAGGAUGAUCAGCCACACUGGAACUGAGACACGGUCCAGACUCCUACGGGAGGCAGCAGUGGGGAAUAUUGCACAAUGGGCGCAAGCCUGAUGCAGCCAUGCCGCGUGUGUGAAGAAGGCCUUCGGGUUGUAAAGCACUUUCAGUCGUGAGGAAGGUAGUGUAGUUAAUAGCUGCAUUAUUUGACGUUAGCGACAGAAGAAGCACCGGCUAACUCCGUGCCAGCAGCCGCGGUAAUACGGAGGGUGCGAGCGUUAAUCGGAAUUACUGGGCGUAAAGCGCAUGCAGGUGGUUUGUUAAGUCACAUGUGAAAGCCCCGGGCUCAACCUCGGAAUAGCAUUUGAAACUGGCAGACUAGAGUACUGUAGAGGGGGGUAGAAUUUCA
rnacentral:rRNA from 1 species